rnacentral:tRNA from 1 species
UUUUGGACCGCCUAUCGGUUAGGCACUGAUUUUGGAUAUCAGCGUUGCGGGUUCGACUCCCGCUCCAAAAACCA